CAGUUACUCACUCCGUUCGGAAUUACUUGUCGCAGAAAUGGAUGUAUCUAGAUGUAUUUUAGUUCUAGAUACAUAUAUCCGAGAUAAGUAAUUCUGAACAGAGGGAGUACUUA
rnacentral:pre_miRNA from 1 species